rnacentral:lncRNA from 1 species
AAAGGCAUGAGGCUGUGCGCAGAAACAUUUCAUGCAGCACGUUGGUUGGAGCAAAAGAGAAAAACAAAAGAAAGAGGAAAAAAACAAAACAAAAAACAACAGUCCAAAAUUCGUAAACCAAUAAAGGGUUUGCCAUCGCCUGAAAGGUUUUUUGUUUUGUUUUUGUUUUUUCCUUAAUCGCCAAACCACAAGGUGAGGCUUUGUAACACCAACCAACUAAGAACUCCAACUCGGCUCGUCCUGGUCUUCCUGUCGUACUCGUGAUUUUAAUUGCUCCUUCUUAGUGCCUGUUUUGGGGUGUGGAGUGCCGUCCUGUGCGCCCAACGCAGCCGCUUGGAUGCCAUCUGAACGGAAGGUCUCUUCGCCUUGCAGGCCUUGCCCAUAUUUUUUUUUUCCUGAAUAAGAAAAGGCAAAACAAUAGAUGCCCAGAAAUACUGCUGUAAUUCACCAGAACAAACAUCCGUCAAAAUCGGGGCCAGCCUCCUCGCCAGCGGCAGACGUAAACUAUCUAAAUAAUGAAAUGCAUUAGGUAUUUGAAGGCGAACUCAGAGAAAAAGGCAGCAUCUUUUCAAGGUGACUGAGCUUUCCAUGCUUUGGGCAAGCGGGAUGAAUUCAAAGGCUCGGGCGCAGAUUAAUGAGAACAGCACUUUAAAAAGGACUGGCCGAUCAUCUUUAACAGAAUGUGUUACUUUUAAAUGAAA